ensembl:lncRNA
GGGACUUUCCACCUAAACUGAAAGAAAAACAAUGUGCUGUGUGAUAGCUAUAAUGUUAUGUAGGCCUAUUGAAAGAAAUAUGCUAUGCUUAGUACUGAUUUUCUGUUUAUAGCAUUUUACAACAGGAUUCUUAUGUAUUUCCAGCUUUCUCUACAUAAAAGGAAGAAACGUCUUUGCCACGGAGCAGGGCCUGAAACCCCUACAGAGUAUUUGAUCACCUACCGACUUCAGGAGAAACCCAGCUGCCCUUUCCCCCAUUGCCCUGGGUGGUUCCCCAGUCAACUCUGUGGAGUCCUUUCGCUUUCUGGGCACCACCAUCAGCCAGGACCUCAAGUGGGAGCUGAACAUCACCUCGCUCACAAAGAAAGCAGAGGAUGUACUUCCUGUGGCAGCUAAAAAAGUUCAACCUGAACAAAGACUAUUAUGGGGCAUUUCCACACUGCCAUCCUAGAGUCCAUCUUGACCUCUUUCACUGUCUGGUAUGCUGCAGCCUGCCCUUGCAGCCUGUCCUUGGCAGUAUCAUCCACUCUGCAGAGAGGGUAAUUGGCUGCAAUCUGCCGUCUCUACAAGACCUACACACCUCCAGGACGCGGAGGCGAGCGGCAAAUAUUGGGGCUGAUCCCUCUCACCCAGGAAAUGGACUAUCCAGAACUCUCCCCUCUGGCAGAAGGUUUAGGUCUAUCAGGACCAAAACCUCUCACCACAAGAACAGUUUCUUUUUUACAGCAGUAGGCCUCAGGAACAUGCCCCUGGAGCCAAACUCACUAUAGCCUGCUCCCCACAUACACACACAACCCUCAACAGGACAAAUCUACAACCCCUCCCCACAUACACACACAACCCUCUACUGGACAAAUCUAUAACCCCUCCCCACAUACACACACAACCCUCAACUGGAUAUCUUGCACCUUACAUAUUUUGUAGUAUAUUUUUUAAGAAUUGAUUAAUGCUCAGUCUACGGUUUUUAUGCUCAGUCCACUAGCAGAUCACUAGGUGUCGCUGAUGUGUGAUCAUGAUUAUUGCUCUGUCACAAACAUUUGACCGACAAAGGCACCUUAAUGAGCACCAAGAAAACAUUUGAAAAAAAAUAAAUAGCAUAUGAAAACAUGUUUUACAAAAGACUAAUAGCAUUAGGUUUAACAUUCCUGAAUGUUCUUCGAAAAUCUAUUUGGUUUGUACUCGUCAUUACCAACACCACAUAAACAAUUCAUACAAAUGAAUUGUCAACUGUCAACUGUAGCAUCUGUUCUCUAUCUCUGAUGUAUUUUCUCAUUGUGAUCCUGGUGAGAAAUUAAAUGUAGUGUUUGGAUAGAUGUUAUUGUUCCAUUGACCUUAGAUAUGUUGUAGUUUUACUUGUUUUAUGUGUAAAAACAAUAAUGACAUGUUAACCAAACAACGUGACAUUGCACCUGUUCCUAGGACGCUGAUUCAGGUUACAGGAACAUCUUGUAAUUGCUCUUGAUCCCAGGACAUAUAGAGAAGAUCCCACAACAUCCCUAAGGACUUGUUCUUCUGGUGAUGGUGUUGACUAUUUGGAAAUAAUCAACACCAGGAUUUUAUUUGCAUCUCAGAAUAACAUUUUGGGUUUUCUUUUGGUGCUGACUUUUGAGUGUCCUCUUGCCCUUUUUUUUUUUAACCGUAAUAGGAUAUCAGGCAGCCGUCCCCCCAGGACACUAAUGGAUUUUGGGCAGUUCCCCUUGGGCACACCCCAUGGCUUCUCAGUUUCUAAGAAGCUUGAGGAGACUGCCCACCAAUCCCUGCUUCUAACAUGGGACCCCCUCCGACCCCCCCAAUUCAUCACAGGAGAACACUGUGUCUCGUUAUUAAGGUACCAAUACACUGUGUCUGGUUAUUAAGGUACCAAGACACUGUGUCU